CCUGUCACAGUGCUGUACCAAUCCUCCUUUUGUUAUUUGUCACUAUUCCCAAAUCAUUCAUUUACUGCAAAAAUACAUGUUUUUUGUAUCGCUAGCAAGAAGUUACAUUCAGAAUUUCUUCAGAACAAAAAAAUAAUCAGUCUGUGUAGAAGAGGUCAUUCACAAGGGUAGUGAUGAUUCUUUCUGGUCUUAAACAAAUCUUUGAAACAAUUUUGGCCUUUAAUUGUGUUGGAGGAAAAUAAGAGUGAUCCUUCUUUGGUCUUUGAGAACUACUAAGUUACCCCUAACACUGCAGGGCCUGUGGCCCUGGGUGGCCACAUGUUUGAAGAUUUCUGUCACUUAGGCGUGGGGUCUCUGAUUGUUCCAUGGUACAAGGCAUCCACCAUUGUCCAACCCUCUUGCAUCUCACUUGCCAGAACAUCUCUCUGGUCUUCUGAAUCACUGAUUUUUUUUGUGACUACUGCUAUAGCUUUGUUCCAACUCUGCAGUCAGACGUUAGACUUGUGCUUUACCUGAAAAAGUUUGUACUUUUUUUUUAAGCCUGUGUUGUGUUGGGUAUGAAUAUGGAUAAAAGAUAUAAAUGUAGAAUGUUUGAUCUCUGCAAUGAUAAUAAACUCAGAUAAAAAUGGGCCUGAGGAGAGCUUCAUCUCAGCUGGGUUUAGAGCUUUUCUUACUGGCUUGACAGGCUCUCUGUGGGGGCCUGCUGCACCACAUAUCAGCAGCUGGGAGAUUAGUGGCGGGCACUGACUUAUCCCUUUCUUGUAAGGAGCAGAUGGCAGAGGGAUUCUGCUGCUUCGGCCAUAUCAUGUGUUUGUGAAUCUGUAUAACGAGAGACAAUUUCAAAUGUCUAAACACUCUUGACUGUGGUGGUGAAUGUCAGUGUAUUAUUAUCAGCAUCUUCAGUCCCUGUGGAGCGAGACAGCAGAUUUGUUGAGCAUAGUACCUGGUCAGAGUAGGUGUAACAAAUGUCCAGGUGAUCAUGAAGGCUCACGAAUGGGUGAAUUGCUGUGAUUUCUAGAUCUCACCAGGUGCUGUGUGUUCUGCUCUGAGAGAUAGCUGCACUUCAGGAUAACUGAAAUGUAGGCUACUACUAAAAGGAGAAAUCUUUUCCUUCCUUUCUUUAUUUUCUCAUAACUUCCCUUGAACCUGGAUGAACUAUGUCCUGUAUGACCGCCAAAUUUGGGCACAGAAGAGGAUCCUUCACGUGUACAUGAAACUUCUCAGUGCUUCUUGAUUCUGCUCAUCUCCUCUGUGCUUUCUUACUUCAGCCUGAGAGCCUUUAGACACCCCUAUGUGUAAUACUGUUCACAAUGGUGGCUUCUUAAGCUUUCUCUCCGGUACCCAGGAAAUGAUGGUGCUGGUGUUUGAAGUGAACAGUGUGUGGCAGCGAAUCUUACAAAGCUGUGACAUCCUUCACAGACUUCUCGUGCUUGCAGAACAACUCUGUUUUGGGUGUCUCUUCUGACAGAUUCCUCCUGAGCUCUGUGUUUGGCCUUGGCUGGAUCACUGAGCUGGAGCAGAGUCUAAGACCUAAGGAGACACAAAGUCUAUUGGGUCAGAUUGGUCCCACAUGGAGUGGCAAUAUGUGGCCCACUGCAUAGUGCCUCUCCUCUCUGACAGCAGGAAUUCCUAUUUCUCACAUGUCUGUUCAUGAAUAAUUUGGCACUUCUGUCUUUAAUGCCAUGAAAUUGAGUAUUUCCACCAGGAGGUAAUGAAGGAAACAGCUUUGUCCUUGGAUUUUGAGACUGCCUGGACACUUUCAUUCCCUUCAAGAUCAGGGCCAUAAAGAGACACUGGCUUUUCUGCUCACUAUUGAAUAUGGCAUCACUUGGUUGAAAUCAUCUGGAGAAGGUAGACUCCUGAAACCAAUGAAGAGGAUGCAGAAUAUCAUGAGACAUUUAACAUCACUUCUUCCAGAAUGUGCAAAGAAAGCUCAGUGUUAGCAAUGCAGGCUGUUGUUAAAAGUCUGUGUCAACUGAAAACAAAUUAUCAAACCUUACUGCUGGGUGAAAAAUGUUCAGCUUAUACAGUAUUACCCAUGUGAAUGUGGAAAGUGAAGAUGGUCUACAGGAUUUAAUAAAGACUUGGGUGUUUUUUUUUUGUGUUGUUUGUUCCCUCUUUCCCCCUCCCCUCAAAAUUGUGUUGUUUUUCUUUUAUGGGGAUAAUGGGAAAAGAUCUGGAACUAACCCAUCAGUGGUUCUGGAC